rnacentral:lncRNA from 1 species
AAAUUAUCUUUAUAAAGAGGAAUUAUCUUUGGCAAAGUAAAUUUUCAUCAUCUCUCAGUGCGUCCAACACGCUCAAAGCAUUAUGUUUUCUCGCAGUUUUGUAUUCCAACAUUGCUUCCCAUGAAUGUUUUGUUGCGGAAGUGCGAGGUCGAGCAAUUACCAAUAUUACAAUGACUGUAACUUUUGGAGAAAUAUAAAUGUGACAAAUAAAUGCAAAGAAAAUAGGACACAAUAAUUCACGUAGUUCGACGUAAUGCCUACGUCCAUGCGCAAAGACUGGGAGAUAAUUUUACUAAUAAUGAGAAUUUACAAAAGUAGGAAAAACUCACAAAACCCACAACCCCAAUACACCCAAAUGGAUCCUUACUAGAACACUCAAGUGGAAACUCUCUCAAAUUCUCUCAAAGAGCUCACUUGCAAUUGCUCUCUACUUCUCUCAAAUUGGGAUGCUUUACAAAUGCAUUCUACUCCUCUAUUUAUAGGCAAAGCUUACAAUAUGAAUGCAUAAAAAAAAAAAAAAACUUUGGCCAUUUUCAAUUUUAAUGGCUUUGGUGUGACUUUUAGU